GACGAACCGUGCAAACGUUAUUCGGAAUCACUGGGCUUAAAGGGCGCGUAGGCGGGCCGCCAGGUCCGGGGGUGAAAGCCUCCAGCUCAACUGGAGAAGUGCCUUGGAUACCGGCGGCCUCGAGGGAGGUAGGGGCGUGCGGAACUUCGGGUGGAGCGGUGAAAUGCGUAGAUAUCCGAAGGAACACCGGUGGCGAAAGCGGCGCGCUGGAUCUCUUCUGACGCUGAGGCGCGAAAGCCAGGGGAGCAAAGCGGG
rnacentral:rRNA from 1 species